rnacentral:lncRNA from 1 species
CGCAAAUGCACAUGCACUAGUCUUGGAACACAAGGCCUCAUUGUGAGCUCUGGUUAGCAUCACAAUGAAUGUCACCAUUGCCUAGCAAAGAGUCCCUGCUGCUUGGUGGAGAAGGAGACCUCUGUGGAAGUGUGUUGGUUGUGGAGUCUUGCCUGUCUUCUCUAUGGUAUCCACGGGGUUGUCCCAUGAUCCUAGGAGAGGAAAAACAUAAGCCAGCCUGAAGAUACGUCAAGCACAGCCACAGGAAUAAACUGCAAAAUCCCUAAGAAUCCAAAAGGAUCUGCAGGAUUUCUCAAGCCUGCCUAGAUGUCGAAUCUUUGAACAUCGCUUGGACUCGUUCACAAGUCAGCUCAUUCUCUCAGAGAGCCCCUGUGAGGCCCAGGAAGAAGGGAGGCAGUGAGGUCAAGAGCCUGGCAAUCUUUCAUUGACACCCUCGUCUGGGGUCUCAGCGACAAUUUCCUGCGGCUUGGCAGAGAAAGAGACCUCUGUGGAGGUGCGUCAGUGGUGGACUCUCACCUGUUGGAUGCAGGGGAUAGUCCCAUCAUCCUAGGUGAGCGCAGACGUGAGCCAGCCUGAAGAAACGGCAGCCAUAGCCUCAGGAAUAAACCGCAAUAUCCCUAAUGAUCCAAAAAGAUCUGCAGGAUUUCUCAGGCCUGCCUACACAUCGUAGCGCCCUUGCCAGAACGGUGGUGCAGUGAUGUAUUACCUGCCAACAGCACAAUGUGAGGCAGGGUCCAGCCGUUCUGCCCAGCAUACAACUUGAGGGAGCAGCCCCUUUUGAAGACCUCCAGGUGGACUUCACAGGAAUGCCAAAGUGUGGAGUGAUCAUGUGUGGAUCAAGGACUGGAAUGUAGCCCACCCACAACUACGGUGGGAAGGACCCCAGACCAUCAUUUUGACGACUCUCACAGCAUGAAAAUAGAAGGAUUCCCAGCCUGGAUCAAUCACAGUCAUGUAUCAUCUACAUUGUCUGAGACCUGAGAGGUGAGACUGAGCCUGGUGGACCCCUGCAAAGUGACAUUGAGAAAGAUGGCAAGCCCUGCUACAGUCACAACCAGAAGCUUACUGUUGUAUGCAUGGCAAAAGAAUGAGGAUACUCAUCAUGGGAUUUAUUCUCCUUAAAAUUUGUACUUCUAUAAUAAAGACUGAUUUUUCCUGCAUGGAGGACUGUUC